GUUCCUGUAGUUAAAGCAGAUAGCGGUGGCUUUUCAGGCCGCAGUUCUUGGGUGGAUCCAGGCGGGAACU
rnacentral:tRNA from 1 species